GAAGGGAUUUCCAUGAACAGCUCCACAACAGACAGGGCUCUUCAGAAUUGCCUAUUUUGUGGAGUAUUAUCACGAUUCGGUGCACAAGAAGACGCUGCCGUCCCCAGUGCGCACAUUUGUUGGGAGGUCUCUUAACAUAUCUGGGAACUAAAUGGUUAAGCAUUGAUAUCACUUCAAAGUUAUGGAGGUAGUACGUGACAUGAGAGCUGAGAUUAAUGUCCACUUCUCAUCAACACUGGAGUUGAGGGUUCCACCACAUUUAUUAGAGAGUGACUGGGUAGAGGCACAAAUAACCAAAAUCAUUGGAAAAGGAGAACAAAGUUACAAAGACAAAGUAGGUAAGCAAUUACAGAAACACAGUCUGUGCUUGACCUGCUGGUCCUGUCAUUUGGCUACUCAUUAAGCAGAUACGAUAAUAAAGAAUCUUGAAAACAUCA
rnacentral:lncRNA from 1 species